rnacentral:lncRNA from 1 species
UCUUCUGUCGGCUGUGAGUAUUUUCUUCAGCUUCCUCCAUUUUCCAUCUAAGAAUUGCAGUGCUCCAUUCAUCUAGCACGUCAUCCAUAUCAUAACAUGCAUCUUUGAGCUUGUCUACCCAAUCUCUUACAGCCUUAUCCUUCACUUGUUUUCUAUCUGCAUCUUCAAGGACAGAUUGGAUAUCAAGGAGAUUGCUUUUCAGCUUGUCACAUUGUUUCUUCACACCCACUACUAGGUUCACCUUUUCUUGUACCUAUUAGUGUACAAAGGAAAAGAAACGUUAAGCAUAGGAAACAUUUCUAUGACAAUUUCACACCCCCUACUAGGUUCACCUCUUCCUGUACCUAGCUAUUAGUGUAGAAAAGACAAGUUCAAGCAUAGGAAACAUUUCUAUUUUGUAUUAAUAUAUUUUAUUGUGAAAUGGAUUUACUAUAUUAAUAAUUUAUAUAUAAAAUAUUUAUUAUAAAUGAUAAUAUUUCUUUUUUCUUUUUAUCAUCAUGAUGAUGAUAUCAGUCUGCACUAUGCUACUGUACAAGAAGGUAUAAAAUGAAUCUUAAAUGGUAAAAUGUAAACCUGUACGUAUGUAUAUAUAUAUAUAUAUAAAGAGUUCAAUGUUCUCACGUGAGAAGGAUUUCUCCUUUGAACCGACAUAAAAUCUGGUUUUCAUUUUACAUUAAACUAUAGAUAUAUGGAUGUAUAAAGGCAAGUGAAUAAAAGGAUCUGCAUUUAUAUAUUUGUGAAGUCAAUUUAGAAAUAAAGGCAUGAUAAUAAGAUUGUGUGAUAACUAUAUAGUUUUAAUUCACACCAAAUACUCACUCGCUAAUCCUUCGAACUUUUUAUUGAUUAUUUUACCUUUAAUAGUUCAGUUUAAAGAGAAUUGGCAACUCUUGUUCAUCUUUUUUGGUUUUCUUAUAUUUGGAAUGAUAUAUUUUCUUUAGGUUAUUUUUAGAAAUAUGAAAACUAAUAAAACUAGAAAAAUAAGUCUUUAAUAAAAUCGAAAUAUAUACUUGAGGAUUUAAAAUAUUAUUUUUAUUUUUUCAAGUUAAAAGUAUUCUUUUUAUGAGAGGAAGAAAAAAGGCUUGAACGUUAUAUAUAUUUCUUAUCUGUGCUUAGGUAAAUCAGGUUAUUGCAGAUGGCAGAAAAAUACCUGUUGAGCAACGAUCGUGGUUAACUGCUCCAAGAUCGGAGAUAGAAGUGCCUCAGCCAUCGUCUGUUUAGUUCUGAUUGGAGAGAGAGAGAGAGAGAGAGAGAGAGAAGCAGUGAUGAUAGGAAGACAGAGAGAAAGAGAGGGUGAAGGGAAGGAGGCGGCUGAUUGUGAAUGGAUUAAUAUACUUGGGGUUUCUCGUUGCAGGUGGAGUUCUUGCAACUUGUAGUUUUUUUUACUAGUGAAGCUUUGUAUUUAGUGUCUCCACAGAAAAAUAUUUUUUAUUUAGUGGCUGAAAGAUUCACAAUUUAUAUUAUAAUUGAUGAUUUUUAUUCUAUGAAAGAACAACAAAUAUAAUUAAAAUAAUAUAUAAAAAUUAUUUUUUAUUAUUUUUUAUUUUAUUUCAAAGUUUAUUAAACAUAAAAUAAUGUUUCGCUUUAAUUAAUGUUUCUUAUAUACUUUGUAUGUUUAUAUUUGAUAGGUAUAGAGAUCAACAACAUUAAAAUGAUGAAUACAUCAUGAAGUUAAAAUUAGCUUCAUUGUUUUGACUUAAUUUGAUAUUGCUCCAAACCUUUUAUAUUAUAUAUUUAUAAUAAGUUAUUUGAAUAAAACUAAAUCAUACUGGUUUUUUUUACAACUCAUAUAUAAUAAAUUAAAAUAAAUAUUAUAUUUUGUUUUAUUAUUUUUGGCCAUUCCAAAAAUAUCAAGGGAAAGUCUUCAAAUGCACAGAGUAAAUCGGAACCCACAGUGAAGUAGCUCUUCAGUAUCUUCUAAGCUCAAGCUGUCAAACACAGACCAAAAGCAAACGUGUCAUAACCAAAACAACCCAAUGAAUGGUAGAUGUUAAAAUGAGCAUUCCAUUUUCUGAAUGACAAAAAUCCCAGUGCCUAGCAAUGACUUACAUAAUUAAUUAAAAUGGAUUUGUUAAAAUAUAGUAAAAUAUUAGACCGUUUAAGAAUUAACACUGUUGGGUUUCGAUAACUUUAUUUGGAUUUAAUCCAUUAAAUCAAUGGGUAUCAUCUUUUAUAGAUGAAUGGUUUAGCUUCCAAGUCUACCAUUCUCUCAUUUAUUUGGACUUAAUCCACUGAAACUGAGGUUUUAUUUGUAAGUAUACACAUCAGGCUCAAGCUUAUCUUCUUGCAUCUGCUCAAAUAUUUCUUCUGCCUUCUCACAGAGUCCCUCUCUAGCAAACGCGUUCACCAGAGCUGUGUAUGUGCAGAUAUCUGGUCUGCAUUUUUGACUUCUCAUUUCGUUAAACAACUUCAAGGCCAUGUAAGAUUGACUUGCCUGAGUACAGGAAAAAGAUUAGCAAAAUGAGUUUUUAAGGAUCCUAAACACCACUGUUGUCCAGUUAUCAGAAUUUAUAACCAUAUCCUUGAAUUUAUUCUGAUAAUUGUUUGAAAUUGAAUGCAUAUAUUUCAAGUUGUUCGUUGUAUCACUGUAGACUCGUAGACGUACGAGUUACGCGUAAUUUUCUACUGGGACCAGUGGCAUUUCAAGAAGAUCAGAUUUGCAGAAUAAUUCAGAACCAAAUACCACUGAGCUUACCUUCCCAUGAAGGUUGAUCAACAGUGUAUAGGUGUCAGUAGAGGGCUGGCAGCCAUCAUUUUUCAUUCGCUGAAAGAUCUCAAUUGCUCUUUGAGGGUUUCCAGCCUUCGUUAACCCAUCAAUAUAAGCAUUGUAUACAAUUGCACCUGGCCAAAAUUAGAGUAUACGCUCACUUUUCACUCUUGAAUGUGCAUGCAAGUGUAUCAACAGAACAGCUUGAAAAACGAAAAUCUGAGAAGUGUAAAUAAGAGAACGAAACACAAAAGCAGAACUAAUGCCCUGUAUUUCACCACCACAAAAAGAAGAGAAAUAACCCACGCAAUCUCAUAAAGGAAAGCUACAGAAGCAAGUUUGUCAUCCAGGAGCCUCUAGCCUAAUCCAGUUCCGGUCUAGCUAAAUUAGCAAGGGGUCCCUCUUGGUUUAAUCAACCAUUCUCUAAGCAUGGUGAUGUAGAUAAGGAGUAGUAAUCACUACUAUUAUAGUAGCAACAAGAAAUAUGCAGACCAUGAACCAAUCUUCUCUUUUCCUACGUUUAGUAUACUUCACCCCCGAAAAGAAAAAAUAAAUACAGCUCUGUGCAAUUAUUGAGCGAGGUUUCAAAAUUUAAAACGAAUUUAACCCCACAAAAAAUCAAUUUUUGAGGAAAAGAAUCUUAAAAGUUGAAGAAAUUUUUGUUUUAUAAGAAAUGGUUGAUCCAAUAACUUCUUGAAAAUACAAUUUCCCUAAAAGCUAAGAAGAAAUGAAUUGGUAAACACAUACUUGGAGGAAGGCUAUACUUUCGCAUAUCAACAAAGGCAGCUUCAGCUUUUUCUAACAAUCCACAUGCACAGUAAGCCUUUAUAAGAAGGGCAUAAGUGUCUUCAGUAGGGAUACACCUGGCUUGAAGAAGAUCAACAUAUGUUUCUUCUGCCUUCUUGUACAAAGAUUUUUGCCCAUAAGCAUCUAUUAGUAAAUUGUAGCACAUGACAUCUGUCUGGAAGGAGCUCUUGUACAAUAUCCAUUGACAUAUCUGGAAAUUUUAGAGUUACACCCAACAAGAUUAUUAAGAAUUAAGAACAAACGAUAUCAAAAAUGUCUAUAUAAUAAAUAGAGACAGUAAAGAGAUUUGUUUCAUUUAGUUGUAGGAAAAUGCUGGUAUAUGAGAAUUCCAAACACCAACUGCAGCACCAACCACUUAAAGGAGAUUUGAACAAUCGAGGAUUCAGUCUUAAUGGUUGAAGAGAAAAAUACUGUGCAAAAUACUGUGCCACAAAAAUAUGUGCGUGCAAGGUGGUUUAAUCCAUCGCCUACCACCUUACACUAUGAAAGAAAUAAGGCACGAUUUACUCACCAAUGCAAUCGGAUCCCAUUGUUUAUUCAAACGAAGUUGGACGGCUACAUUAAUAAGAUCAUCCCAAGUCUCGUGAGUGACAGGAAGAGUAUCAAGAGCAGCCCAAACAUUAUUCGGAUCCACUUCUUUCCGCACAAAGUUCAGAAUCUGAUGAGCAACAGGACUUAGCACGGGAAAAUUCCAUCAACAAAUCCAGAUCCAUAUUUCCAUCCUUGUCCCCUCAAAGAGCCACCUAGGUAAAUUAGACGACUUAAUAAUUAAAGCCAUAUUUGCUUGAGAGUUAUAUGUAUGAGCACAAAGUGAAUUACUCCGUAUUACAUCGUUUCCUGGACAUCUUUUUGUGAUCAAAGAUUCGCCAUUUGCCAUGUUUGUCGAUAUAGACCCUGUCGCUUUUCCACUUUUUAACAUCUCCACUACUGGAAUUCUUUUCUCUGCGUCUGAAAUGACCAUUCCGGAUUCUUGAUUCUAUAAAAAUAUGAUUCAGAGUGCAUCUAACAAGCAACCUGCAAACACUAAUCAAGUAAACACACAAUUGCCAGCAACAAAAUACACACCUCUUAAUUUAAAGCCAUUACACGGAGGAAGCAACCAAAUAAAAUCCAUAUAAAGGAUGCUUUAGACUUCAAAAUAAUUGGACAAAGAGAGACACUAAAACUACUUUUAAUCACAAUAGCAAACACAUGAAAUGCAAACCAGAAAACCUAGUUAAAAAGAAGAAGAAAAGUAGUCAACUUUCCCUUUCUAAACCAAAUAUCUUCUCCCUUUCUUCCGCAAUAAUUCUUAACUGCUGUGAGUAUAGGUUGUAUUUUCAUUACAGAAUCAAAUAUUAGUCUAAUCUAUCUGAUUAAACUACAAAAAUCAAAAUUUGCAAGAUAAACAAGGCCACAACUGUUGAAGACUGGUUAGAGUUCAACAACGAUAAGCAUAGCACUCUGACAGCUAAAACUGGUCCAUCAUCUUAAAACUUAUGAAGUCACAGUAAGACUUUUUAGAUAAUGAUGAUUGCUCGUUCAAUACAUAUGAGAGCCAACAAAAUGCUAAAAUGUUUAAUUAACAAGAACAUAAAACAAAUUAGACAUCCUCUCUCAAGUGAACGUUGAUACUUAGCAAUUCCAUUGAAACCCAUUUCUCAGAACCAGAAAUUCCAUGAAAAAGCAAUAUUAUCCAGCAAGAGGAGAAAGAACCACCAGAAUUGAAGUUAAUAAAUACAGAAAAUAACAAGGCAGCAUGAACAGCAUUAGCAGUGGCAUUGCAUUACGAAAGAGAGGAAGGAAGGACACGACUUACAUGAAAGUAUAAAAGAGGAGUUUGGAGUUGGGUAUCUGUAAACAUCCAGCAAGCAAGAAGAUAUGUGAACUGAAGAGUGUUUUCUUGGAUAAUGGACUCCGUGGGUGAAGACCAGCACUGCCAGACAAAAGUAGCUUCUGUUUUUUUCUGUUUACUAAGGGACAAAAGCCUCAAAAUAUCUCUAACGAACUUAAGGAGUCAAACAAUAGCAUUAUUGUAGCCUCGUGGUGUCUGAGGUUGCAUGGGAUUCUAUAUUGAGACAGUAGCUGAUUAUACAAUGGUUGAUUUAAAAUAACCAACACUACCUUUUUAUACAAAGUGGGAUUGAUGAGGAUAUAAAUCUACACACUCCAACAUUCAAAGUCCCAAUCUUAGAGUCAUUGAUUAGUAUAGUAACGCCUCAUUGGCAAGAACCCAAAUCACUAAGCUCAAAUUACUAAUAAAAAUUACAAAUUUACACCGAAUUUGAACAGAUUUCUACCAACCGAUGUCACUAAAGAAAACACAAAAAAAAAAAAAAAACGCAAAAAAACAAAAGGGCUUCUUGAAUUUAAACCAAAGAAUAUAACAAAACCAAUAAAAAAAAUAAUAAAUGUUUACUUACAGAAGAUUCAUCGACUAAAAUAGAUGGCAAUUUCUUCUCAGUUGCAACAACAACACCGCUUGCCGCUACAACACUAAAAAAAUAAUAAAAUCAACAACAUAGUAUCUAAGCACCCAUCAACAACAUAGUGCAUUCGAAAAUGACAAGAAAAUGAGAAAAGAGAGAGAGGGAGCUUAAAUUGCACCAACCUUUGAUUCCGAGAGAAGUUUGGCCUGAUCCAACGGCAGUCAAUGCGUGCUCAAUCUGUACUAGCUUUCCGGUAGGACUGAAAGUAGUGAGAGAAAAGGAGUACUGGCUAUCACCCAUGGUUUAUUGCUUGAAGACGCAGAGAGGAAAAACUGUGAAUGCGAGUGUGUGGGAGGGAAAGACAGGGAUAUUUACUUGGGGUUUUAACUUUGCUUUUCUCGUUGGAGAAGAAGGUGUUUUCUUACGAGGGCUUUUACAAUGGAGUAUUAUGGGAUUUUAUGACGGCAGGUUGAUCCUCUGUACAUUGAGCUCAAUGAAGGCUCGGGACCAGUUUUGUUUUCAAGUAUUAUUAACAAAUAUUUAUUUAUUUAUUAAUAUACAUAAUUUUUAAUUUAUUUAAUAACAUUUAUAUAUAAUUUUUAAUUUAUUAUAUUUUUGAACUAGAAAAAUAUAUUUAAAGAACUGCAUAUAUAAAUUUUUAUAAAAAAUAAAAUAUUUGACUCACAAUAAAUUAUCCAUAUUUUUAUUAAAAAAAUAAAGUUGGGUAAACUCUUAAUUAGGCCUUGCUACUGAAUUUUGUUGUUGAUUUGUAAUUUAAUUAUUGUUGAAGAUUUUUUGUGUUAGGUUUGGAUAACUUUAUUUGGAUUUAAUCUCCAAAAUCGAAGAGUAUCAUCACUUAUAGAUGAAUGGUUUAGCUUCUCUCAUUUAUUUGGAUUUUAAUCCACUGAAACUGAGGUUUAAGAGUUUCUUGGAUUUAAUCCACUGAAACAGUUGCUUGAUCAAGAUCAUUGGCUUGUUUGAAGGCAGAUAAAGGCAUACAAAAAAAAAGCGAGAGAGAGCGAGAAAGAGAGGAUGUGAGAAAUAAUUAUAGAUAUGAGUUACAGUAGUUGAAACAAAUGAAUUACAGAUCAUUUUAUGGUGAGAGAGAAAGAGAGAGAGAGAGAGAGAAUGUGAGAAAUAAUUAUAUCAUCUUAGAUUACAGAUCAUUUUGAGAAAAUCUAAAAGAAAGUAUCAUCUUAGAUUAAUUAUAGAUAUGAGUUACAGUAGUUGAAAUUUCAAAGGCAAUUUUUUAGAGUAAAGAGGAAAUAAUAUGUUGAGAUGAUGCGAGAGCCCAAUUACAGUAAAGAGGUCAUAUAUUAUUUACACUCAACCUUAGCAAACACCAAAGCAAAACAAAUUAAAUUAAUACACUCAAAGCAGGUUCUAAAGAGUUGUGCCAAUCUUCACCCAUCUCCUCCUUCCCGUAACGUUUCCUUAGAUUGGGGCAACUCUUUAUGUGUAACUCCUGUAGAGGCGCUGCCAAAACAUAGUCCGGUAGUUCUCUCAACAACGGGCAAUUACUAAUCAUCAACUGUCGAAGAUGUGGCAUAAUGGAUAUUAUUGAAGUUGUGAUGGCAUCUUCUUCUCCCACUGAUCUCCUUUCAAUUCCAUCCCACUCUUCUACUUCUGUGAGACUCACAAUUUGUUGUCUCCGUGGACGUACCCGGUUUUUGGGAACCACGUAAAUCUGUUGUUUGUGUUUUAUUUGUGUUUGCUUUUGGUUCAGUAUGCAUAACAAAUUGGUAUCAGAGCGUUUGGGAAGCUAGAACACUGAAAAAAACACGUUUUUCAGCUCUCGGAUCGAAGUUGCAGAAUUUUCAAAGUUCUCAGAUCUUGAUUUUGACCACCUACAGAGAUUCCUCUCGUCGAUACGAGUCCGGCAAUAUAAAGAUCAUCGAAAUCGGAGUUAAAACGAUCCCUGUAGAGCUCGCCGAAGUUUCGCCGGAAAACUGCCGGAAAAACCAGACUGCCGGAAUUCUUGCCUGAGAAGACUGCCACGUCAUCCGCCACGUCACCAAACAGUGACAGAAUAUGCUCUUGACAGAAUGAGAAUAUUCCGUUAACAGAGACAGAAUAUUCCUUUGGCAGUGACAGAAUAUUCUCUUGACAGUGACAGAAUAUUCCCUUGGAUUUGACAGAAUAUUCUUUAUCAGAGACAGAAUAUUCCUUUCCUGAGUCAACUCGGUCAGAUUUGUUUUUUGGCCAACUCAGUGAUUUUAUAUCCCGUUUUUUGGCCAAGUUAAGCUUGUUCCUAGCAUUUUCAACCGUUCCGGACGCAACCGUGGUGUCCGUUUUGUGAAACAGCACACAGAAGUUACUGUUUUGGCUCUUUUGAGCAUAAAAUUGUGUGUUUUAACAAUUUCGGGAGUCCAUUUGUAAUCUAAAGGCGUCCUAAUGGCUGAUAUUCCAGAAGAAAAAUCAGCGGGGAAUGCUAGUAUACCUCCACAAUACAUCCCGGUAUCGAAUACCAAAUUUGAGGUGGAGAAGUUUGACGGGAAAGGUAAUUUUGGCAUGUGGAAAUGUGAAGUUAUGGAUAUGCUUGUCCAAAUGAAUUUGGAUUUCACUCUAGAAGAUAAACCAAGAGGAUUUGGAUGAGAAAAGCUGGGGGAGGAUAAAUCGGUUAGCUUGCAGUUCCAUCCGACUUUGUCUUGUAAAAGAUCAAAAGUACGCCUUUUCAGAACAAAACUCUGCAAAGGAAUUAUGGCAAGCACUGGAGGACAAGUUUAUGAAGAAGAGUAUAGAGAAUCGUCUCUACUUGAAGAAAAGAAUCUUCCGUUUUCAGCACAAGAAAGGUACUUCCAUGAAUGAGCAUCUGAAUGAUUUCAAUAAAAUGAUAGCUGAUUUGAAGAAUUUAGAUGUGGAAAUAGAUGAUGAAGAUAAAGCUCUGUUAUUAUUGAAUUCACUGCCUGACACAUAUGAACAUCUCGUCACCACUUUACUGUAUGGUAAAGAAAAGAUUAAAUUCAUUGAUGUGUCCAAUGCUUUGGUGAAUAAUGAGUACCGGAAGAAGGACCAGAUUGUUCACAAGGAGUCAACGUCAGAAGCAUUGACAGUUAGAGGCAGAACAAACCCUAGAAGAUUUCGAGGGCGAGGGAGAUCUCGCUCAAAAUCUAGAGGAGAAUCAUCAAACAGGCGAUAUCUUGCAAAAGAUGAGUGUGCCUUUUGUCACAAAAAGGGGCACUGGAAGAAAGAUUGUCCAAUCAAGGGCAAUAAGGAAAAAGAUGAACCAACUGUGAACGUUGCACGAGAAGAAGAUGAACGAGACUCUGCAUUCAUGGUCUCAUCACCAGAAAAACAUUGUGGUGAAUGGAUUCUUGAUUCUGCAUGUUCUUAUCACAUGUCCCCUAACAAGCACUUAUUCUCGAGACUUGAGGAGUUCGAUGGAGGAGUUGUGUUUAUGGGCAAUAAUAAUGUUUCUGAGGUCAAAGGGAUUGGGACUAUCCAUCUGAAGAUGCAUAAUGGGGUAGUCAAGACACUAACAGAGGUACGGUAUGUACCUGACUUGAAGAAAAAUCUCUUCUCACUUGGAGUCCUAGAAUCCAGUGGUUAUAAGAUUAUCAUGCAUGGUGGAGUCCUCAGAGCAAUCCGUGGUGCAUUAGUUGUCUUAAGAGGCACGAGGAUAGGAAACUUAUAUUUCCUAGAUGGAUCUACUGUUACUGGUAUAGCAGCUGUUUCCAAAAGCCUAGAAGAUGCUGAAGCAGAUAAUUCCAGACUUUGGCACAUGCGCUUAGGGCAUGCUGGUGAAAAGGCUUUGCAAGGACUAGUCAAGCAAGGUCUAUUAAAAGGCGCCAAGACUGGGAAGCAUGGGUUCUGUGAGCAUUGUGUUCUUGGAAAACAGACAAGGGUCAAGUUUGGCACUGCAAUACACAACACAAAAGGGAUUCUAGAUUAUGUUCACACAGAUGUAUGGGGACCUUCAAAGAAUGAAUCUCUUGGAGGUAAUCGUUGGUUUGUUACUUUUAUUGAUGAUUUCUCAAGACGAGUAUGGGUGUACAUGAUGAAACACAAGGAUGAGGUCCUUGAUAUCUUUCUGAAAUGGAAGAAAAUGGUGGAGACUCAAACGGGAAGGAGAGUUAAGACUCUUCGGUCAGAUAAUGGUGGUGAGUACACUUCAGAUCCUUUCUUUGAAGUUUGCCAGGAUGAAGGGAUCAAGCGACAUUUUACUGUGCGCAAAACACCACAACAAAAUGGAGUAGCAGAACGCAUGAACCGCACAUUGGUGGAGAAAGUCCGAUGUAUGCUAUCACAUUCGGGACUAAGCAAAGUGUUCUGGGGCGAGGCAUUAAGCUAUGCCGUCAUAUUGUUAAUCGGUUACCUUCAGCAGCAUUAAAUGGAAGAACCCCCUUGGAGGUAUGGUCAGGCUCUCCUGCAAAUGAUUAUGACUCUAUGCGUAUAUUUGGUUGCUCAGCAUAUUAUCAUGUUACUGAGUUAAACUAGAUCCUAGAGCCAAGAAAGCUAUAUUUUUGGGCUUUAGUGGAGGAGUAAAAGGUUACAGACUCUGGUGUUCUGAAUCAAAGAAAGUGAUUUUGAGUAGAGAUGUCACUUUUGAUGAGUCUGGCAUGUUACAGCAGGAGAAAUCACAGGAGAAGGAAAAACAGUCUGGUGAUGCACAACAGGUGGAGUUGGAGACUUCAGUCAUCCCUAUAAAGACUGUUCAGACAAUCCCUACUGAAGGAGAUUCAGAUGAAAGUUCAGAUGAAGAGGAUGCAACAACUCCAGCAACCACACAACAAGAAUCCAUUGCAACGAGUAAACCGAAAAGAGUUAUCAAGAAACCUGCUCGGUAUUGUGACAUGGUGGCUUAUGCACUUCCAGUGAUUGAUGAUGGAAUCCCCUACACCUACAAAGAAGCAGUACAGAGUGUAGAAAGUGCAAAAUGGAAAGAGGCAAUGGAUGAAGAGAUGAAAUCUCUCCACAAGAAUCAGACUUGGGAUUUGGUACAACUCCCUAAGGAAAAGAAGACAAUUGGUUGCAAGUGGGUAUAUGCCAAGAAGGAAGGUAAUCCUGGAAAAGACAACAUCCGAUUCAAAGCAAGAUUGGUAGCAAAAGGCUAUGCUCAGAAGGAGGGGAUAGAUUAUAAUGAGGUAUUCUCUCCAGUUGUUAAGCAUUCAUCAAUUCGUAUUUUGCUAGCCUUAGUUGCACAAUUUGAUUUGGAGUUAGCCCAACUUGAUGUGAAAACUGCCUUCCUACAUGGAGAUUUGGAAGAGGAAAUUUACAUGUCUCAGCCAGAUGGUUUCAAAGUCACUGGGAAAGAGAAUUGGGCUUGUAAACUGAAGAAGUCAUUGUAUGGCUUGAAACAAUCUCCUCGCCAGUGGUAUAAGCGAUUUGAUAAGUUCAUGACAGAACAUGGAUACACACGGAGUCAGUUUGACAACUGUGUAUAUUUUCGCAGACUUCUUGAUGGUUCUUUCAUCUAUUUGCUCUUAUAUGUGGAUGAUAUGUUGAUUGCAUCAAAGAGCAAGGUGGAGAUUGAUAGACUGAAAGCUCAACUGAGAACUGAGUUUGAAAUGAAGGACCUUGGAGAAGCUAAGAAGAUUCUUGGCAUGGAGAUUCAGAGAGACAGAAGAAAAGGCACAGUCUGUUUGACACAGACCCAAUACUUGAAGAAACUUCUACAGAGAUUUGGGGUAGAUGGUAAGACCAAGCCGGUAAGCACACCUUUAGCUCCUCAUUUUAAGCUAAGUGCUUCAAUGUCUCCACGCACAGAGGAAGAGCGCAAACAUAUGGCUCAAAUUCCGUAUGCAAAUGCAGUUGGUGCAUUAAUGUAUGCAAUGGUUUGUACGAGACCAGAUAUUUCACAUGCUGUCAGUAUGGUGAGCAGGUAUAUGCAUGAUCCGGGAAAGGGUCACUGGCAGGCAGUUAAGUGGAUUCUACGGUACAUUCAUGGCACAACUGAUAUUGGUUUGAAGUUUGAGAGGGAUGAUAGACUCGAGCAAAAUUUAGUUGGUUAUGUGGAUUCGGAUUAUGCUGGUGACUUAGACAAGCGUCGUUCCACAACAGGCUAUGUGUUUACACUUGCUAAAGGGCCUGUAAGUUGGAGGUCAACUUUACAAUCAACAGUAGCUUUGUCAACAACUGAGGCAGAGUACAUGGCAGUAACAGAAGCUUUCAAGGAAGCUAUUUGGUUACAUGGGUUGAUUGAAGAUUUGGGAAUUGUUCAAGAGCACGUGGAUGUCCAUUGUGAUAGUCAAAGUGCUAUUUGUCUUGCAAAGAAUCAGGUUCAUCAUUCCCGCACCAAGCACAUCGAUGUUCGAUUUCAUUUUGUUCGAGAAAUUGUGGAUGAAGGGGAUAUUCUGCUACAGAAAAUUGUACUAUAGAUAAUCCAGCUGACAUGCUCACAAAAUGUGUCUCAGGGAUCAAGUUCCAACAUUGUUUGGACUUGGUCAACAUCUCUCGGUGUUGAGCACCUUCAGGGUGCAAUGCCAUAUGGCGCAAUGGAGGCGGCAUUGAUUAAUCACGAGUAUUGGAUGGAAAAAUCUUGCAAAGGUGGAGAUUUGUAGCAAAUUGUCAACAUUUGAAAAUUGUCAACAUUUUUCUCAACAACCCUCUCCUUUACUCAACCACUAUCAACCACCCUCUCCUUCUUUUUGACCAUUAUCACUUCUCAUCAAGGUGCUGCCAAAGCUCUCCUAUAAAGACAGAGACGAGAGAGUGCAGGGUAGAAGAGAGGAAGUGUCAAGUGCAGAGGAAGUGUGGUGAGUGCAAGUGAGUGCAACUGUGAGAGUGAAAAAUACAGAUUUGAGAGAAACACAGAGUGUUAGAGUGAAACACUGGGUUUUGUGGGGAUUGUAUUGGGGUUGAGUUGAGUGUUUGUAUUAUUCCUCCAAUAAUAUACAAUCUGUUGUCUCCGUGGACGUACCCGGUUUUGGGAAACCACGUAAAUCUGUUGUUUGUGUUUUAUUUGUGUUUGCUUUCGGUCCAGUAUACACAACACACGUUUCUACACUAACGGAGUGUAAGCACCUGUAAUCUGGUUAAUGUCAUCAUCCAAUUUGGCCAUUCCAACCCUCCGUAACUCCAUAUGAUUAGAUUUUCCAAGUCUGACGGAGGCUGUAAAGCUUCAAUUAAAAUGCCGUUCUCCUGGUUGUAGUAGAAAUCCAAUUCCAAACGAAGCAGGCGCUUCUUAUUCUUGAGUUGUGCUUCUGCAGCGUCACUCGCAUCUUCUUUACCUCCUCCUAGAUUACUUAUAAUAAGACUCCCUCCAAUGUGAUUUAAGUUUUUUAAUUCUCUUAGAUUAGCUGCUUUACUUUCAUUCUCACCACCAGCACACACAGUAAACACAUCUAAUGUUCGAAGACAUGUUAUCCUCUCUAUUCCCUUUGGUAUGAAGGCCACACCUGAAUCAUAAAUCCGGAGAUGCCUCAAUUUGAUAAGUUUUCCAAUCGCCUUGGGCAAUUCCUUGAGAGACCGACACCAAGUAACGUCUAGGGAUUGCAGAUUGCAUAAAUCACACAUGGUUUCUGGCAGGGACUCCAACUCUCCACACCAUGCCAAAUUGAGGUGUCUCAAAUGUAUCAAUUUCCCUACCUCGUUUGGUAUUUCUUUGAUUGAAGACCUUGUCAAAUUCAAUGACCUGAUGCAUGUCAACUGUUUGAACAAAUCAGGCAGUGCAGCUCCAAGCGAAGGGUCUCUAGUGCCGAUCAAGAGGCUGCGAAGACCUUUUGCUUUGUGAAUGGACUUGGGAAAAGAGCUCUCCUCUGACAGCAUCAUGCUUAAAUGACGAACCCUUUCAAUUGAAGUCUCCAUUGUUGCUUCUCCAAGUUUACUGGCAUCCACUGUUAGACAUUCAUUUUUUGUCAUAUAUUGGGCAAAAUCAUGCACUAUAUCAUGCAUCUUGAAUUUCAUUCCUUCAAACCAAUGCCUCUCAAAAUCUUGGAAGAAAGAGCGCGCUGCCAAGACUUGAAAGCACUCCUCUCCAACAAGCUCCAUAUCUCCACCUGAAGUCUCCUUGAAGUAACCUUGAGCCAUCCACAUCUUCACCAAUUCAGAUUUUCCCAUCUCGUAGCCUUUUGGAAACAUGGCACAAUACAAGAAACAUCGUCUUACCCUUGCACUUAUUUGCAAUUUUAUCGCUGGUUUCUGUCAAUCUUUCGCACUCAUCUUUGCUUCUUUUAUUGAAUGCCACCUGAAUGAAUAUGGACCUGCAUACCUCAUCAGACAAUCUCUCAAGGAUGAUCAUGUGGUCGGUUCCCAUCAUGGUUGCCACAGAAUGUUUACGAGUGGUCACUAGAAUUCUGCUUCCUGGUGCUCCGCCUUUGAGAGAGUGUUUCAGCGGUUCCCAUUGUCCAUAAUUUUCUGUCCAGACAUCAUCUAGGACAAGAAGGAACCUCUUUCCCUUAAUGGAUUCAGAAACCCUUUGCAAAAGGGAUUGCAAUUCAACCAAAUCCGGUGCCCUCCCUUCAAGCUGCUCGAGGAUAGCUUUGCCUAUCCUAACCUCAUCAAAUGGAUCUGAAACACACACCCAUAUCUUCUCAAAAUGAGCCGUAACCUCAGCAUCAUUAAAAGCUAGUUGGGCGAGAGUUGUCUUUCCAAUCCCGCCCAUCCCUACUAUAGAGAUGACCUCUACGUCCCCUGCUUCCUGAAUACUUUCGCCCAGCAACUUGCUUACUACAGCUUCCCUUUCAUCAUCUCGACCAGUCACGAUUGAUUCAUCAACAAGGGAGGUACUUGUUAUUCGUUGGAGUUCAUCAGUGGCUCUGUACGGAUCAAAGCCAUACAUAGCUCUCGCUUUCGCAAUGUCAUCCACUUUUUCACAUACUUCUUUGAUCUUGAGGGCAAUGUCUCGACGUCGAACCACUUGAUUGAGACAAAAGCAAGGAGAUUUCAGGAAGGAACAUCGCAUCUUCUGUAGGCUGCGAGUAUUUUCUUCAGCUUCCUCCAUUUUCCAUGUAAGAAUUGCUGAGCUCCAUUCAUCUAGCACGUCAUCCAUAUCAUAACAUACAUCUUUGAGCUUGUCUACCCAAUCUCUUACAGCCUUAUCCUUCACUUGUUUUCUAUCUGCGUCUUCAAGGAUAGAUUGGAUAACAAUGAGAUUGCUUUUCAGCUUGUCGACUUCGUUUCUUCACACCCCCUACUAGGUUCACCUCUUCAUGUACCUAUUAGGGUAGAAAAGAUCAGAAAGUUCAAGCAGAGGAAACAUUUCUAUGAUUUCAAUACAAGUUUUUUUAUUUUAAUUUUUCGUAAUUAAUAGAUUAAAUAAUUUUUAUUAAUCUUUUUUUUUGCAGUAGUUGACACGUGCUGUGAAAUGGAUUGGCUAUAUUAAUAACUUAUAUAUAAAAUAUUUAUUGAAAACUUAUAUAUUAAAGAUAAUGCUUCUUUUUAUCAUCAUCAUGAUGAUAUCUCUCUGCACUCUGCUACUAUACAAGGAAGAAAAUGAAUCUUAAAUUGUUCCAAUCAAAGAAAUAUAGUGAUUAAAAGGAUCUGUAUUUGUUGGUAUUUGUAAAGUCUAUUUGGAAAUAAAUAUUCUUCCUUUAAAGUGAACUAAUUAUUUUAACAUUUGAUUGAUUAUUUUACCCUUAGCAGUUCAGUUUAAUGAGAGGAUUGACAACUCCUUUUUCCUUCUAAAGAUUAUUUCCAGAAAUAUGAAAAAUAAUAAAACAAUAAAAAUAAAUUUCCUUAAUAAAAUCCAAAUCUAGAUCUGAGUAUUUGAGAUUUUAUUUUAUUUUUAUGGUAGAGGAACAAAAAAAGACUUCAUUUUUAUAUUUCUUAUUCAUGUUAGGUUAAUUGGAUCAUUGCAAAUUGUAGAAAGGCAAUUACCUGUUGAGCAACGAUCCUCGUUAACUGCUCCAGAAUUGGCGAUAAAAGUGCCUCUGCCAUUUGUCUGUUUACUUUUAUUUUAUUUCUUAAAAAAAGAGAGACAAUGAUGAUAGGAUGAACAGAGAGGGAGAGAGAAGAGAGUAUGAGGGGAAGGAGGCUGCUGAUUUAGUUAGUUUAGAGCGGAGAAGCUAAAUGAAUAGCUAAAAAUAAAAAAUUAAUAUUUUAGUUUUUCUUUACUUGUUUUAUACACUCCAAGAAAAAAGUCAAAUAAAAUACUAAAAUACCUUUUUUCUCCCACAAAUGUUAUUCCUAUAUAUCUCUCAAAAGAGCCAAAAUUAAUCAAGUGGGGCCAACAAAAGAAUAAACCAAUUAAAUCUAGCCAUGUGAAAAAAAAAUAACAUCAAAAUCAUUAAAAAAAAUAAAACACUUCUUUAUUCUACUCUAAUAGAAUUGGCUUUUUAAAUGGCUUUUUUUCCAUUAGAAUAUACAUGAUAAAAAAAGUUAUAUUUAUACUAUUCAAAAUGCUAUUUUAUCAAUUUAUCUUUUUAAAAUAGCAUUUUACUUUGGAGAUGUUCUUAUAUGUGCUUAGGGUUUGGUGGUGAGGGUUGACUUUUGUUUCAAUGCCUGCGCUGUUUCUAACAUUUCAAUUCAGUCCCUAUAUUAUUGAACUUUUCAGUCUAGUGUCGGUCAGGGUUUUGUUAACAGGAAAAGGAUUGCAGGGAUGGCUGGUCUGAGUGAUGGAAGCUGGCUGAAGCUGGGGCUGUGUGGAUAUCAGUUAAAUUUUGAUGCAGGCUCUUGAACUAGAAACCAUGUAUUAGUUGUCUCAUAUAGGACACUUUACUAUUACAUUUUGAUGCUGGCUCUUGAACCAUUACCCUCUUCGCUCCAGUUGAGAAGAAUUUUUAAUUUAUAUUCCUGAUGAUCAUCGUUAUGCUAUGUAAUGUAGUGAUUCAAUCGCGCCAUUUCUUAUGUUUAGAAAUCUAUGUUUUGGUAACUUGUCUCUUGUUUUUUUUUUUUUCUUGUUGGGUUGCUCAGGUGCUAUCUACAUUGAUUCUGAUAUCAUAGUUUUGAAUUCAUGGUCUUCACUUAAUAACACGAUUGGUCUGGAGAAUUCUACUGAGAGAUUAUCGCAUUCUACUGAAAUUCCUGAAAUUGAUUAUAGCAUUCUACUGAAAUUCCUGCUUCUCAUCUGUUUCUCCAUUUCUUCUCUUCAUUUAAUGUUUAUCUGGUAUCAGUAGCAUGUGCUGGUCAUGGCAAAAAAGUAUGGAAGGAUUGCUGGUUUGCGUGAAUGGAGCUCCUUUAAAUGGGAGGUUCGUUUGUGAAGGGGAGCAAAUGGGUGUGAAAAGGACAAGAAAUGAGGAAAGAAUUCAUAUUGUCUGGACCACAUCACCUUCCUUUCUUCUUCUUUUUUUUGUUUUCAUUCCUUUUUUAUUGUCUCUUUCUACUUUUUCAUAAUGAAAUUCAGAUCUAAAUUACAGAGGAAAUCAGCAUGCUAGAUUCAGCAGCGUUUGGGGUCAGAAUGCCAUUGUUGGGAAGAAGACAACAAAUUAUGUGUAGCUUAGCAGCCAUUGUUGCUGCUUCAGGAACACCAAACUCCCUUGUCAAAAAACUGGAUCCAUAUGCAUUUUGCAAUUAAGUCAUUAUGCUUUAAACUCAUUCUAUGUGUCUUUCCUUACAAAAAAAAAAAAAAAAAAUGGUUAUUUGCUGUCUUCAAACCCGAGAGUUUCGUUGCGUUCUGUUUCAAUUCAGUCAGUCUUUAUUAGUCAAUGCUUCGUAGAACAGAGGCACCUCAUUGCAGAGUGCGGGUACAAAACUAGUGUUGAGGUGAGGUCAUAUGUCCUACCAAAAUGGAUUUUGAUCAUAAUAAUUAGAAGAAGAAAAAAAAACAACAUUAAUAAUUGAUCAUCGUGGCUACAAAAUGAAGUGGAACUAAUAAUUAAUGGAGUGUAUAUAAUAAUCAUAAUCAUAAUAAUACUAAAUAAAAUGAAUUACUAUGUGUAUUCUAUAAUUUAGUUAUAUAAUAUAGCAGAUCUGUACAAAUUAGUAAUUUCAACUUACCAAUAAAAAAAUUAUAGUAGAUUUUUACCGUGGUAUGAUUGCAAUAAAUAAAAUAAAAUAAAUUUACUUCACAGCAUUAAUAAUUUUUUAGUUUUUGUCAAACAAUAUCAACACACAUGUAUAUUAUGCAUUCACUCAUUUUUUUAAAAAUAAUUAUAAUAAAAUUAAUUAGUUAUUUAUUAUAAAAACUAGACCUAUAAGUUAUGUCUAAGCUGUUAAAAAUAAUAAAAAUAAAAUAAUUUAAAGAUAUAAUAUAUUUUAAAUAAAAUUAUUAGUCAAUCUAUAUCGAGUUGUUUUAUCUACUAAAUUAAAAAAUUUAAGUUUUUAUAUCACUUAGAAUACUUAUGUUGAAUUUAAUCCAUAAAAUCGAUGGGUAUCAUCUCUUACAGAUGAAUCGAUGGGUAUCAAGUUACAUGCCAUCUUGCAACUUCGAAUAACAGACCACUCGACUGGCUCCAAAAUCAAACCAUCUCCACCUCAUUCAACACGAUUUAAAAUAAUCAACACCACCUUUUUAUACAAUGUGGGAUUGAUGAGGAUAUAAAUCUACAAACUCCAUCCAAAGUCUCAAUCUUAUAGUGUUCUUAACUAGUAUAGUAACGCCUCAUUGGCAAGAACCCAAAUCACUAAUAAAAAUUACAACUUUACACCGAAUUUGAACAGAUUUCUACGAGCCGAUGUCACUAAACUCAAAUUACUCCUAAAAAUCUCAAUAUAAACCCAUUAACUACUAGACCAACACCUCAUUGGCUAGAAUCCACGUUGCUUUUCCACAACAAUCAUCAGCUUCUUCAAUUAGGAUGCUACAAGCCCUUGUCUAUAUACUAGCUUAAAUUGCGACAACCUUUGAUUCCGAGAGAAGUUUGGCCUGAUCCAACGGCAGUCAAUGCGUGCUCAAUCUGUACUAGCUUUCCGGUAGGACUGAAAGUAGUGAGAGAAAAGGAGUACUGGCGACCCAUGGUUUAAUGCUUCAACACGCAGAGAGGAAAAACUGAGAAUGCGAGCGUGUGGGAGAGAAAGAAAGGGAUAUUUACUUGGGGUCUUAACUCUGCUUUUCUUGUUGGAGAAGAAGGUGUUUUCUUACGAGGGCUUUUACAAUGGAGUAUUUUGGGCUUUUAUAACGGCAGCUUGGUUCUCUUUACAUUGAGCUCAAUGUUUUUCCCAGAAAUCUGCCCUUCAAAUCUGCAAACACAAACAAUCUUGUAAGGGUACAAGGGAAGCACUCAGAACUUGUAAGAAACUUUAAAAUGCUCAUUUAUAUCUCUCUUUGACCACUUUGCAAAAACUAAGAUUAUGCUCACUAGUCCACCAUCACUCUGAUUAUAGAAGCAAGACUCGACAAUUUAACAACUUAAAAUCACUAAGAGGAAAGAAAAGGAACCUUCAAGCACCUGCAAGUACAUUUGAUUGACACUGGGUUGAGAAACUUUCAUUCAUUUUCACUUAAACAGUAUCUCACAUAAUUUAAUCUCCUGAACUACUAACUAAAGUGUUGAGAGCCAAUUUUGACAUAGGUAAUAAGUUGCACAAGUUAGUAAGAAGUGGCUCAUUGAGCAACCAAAUUGCCAAGAUGUCUUAUUUCAAACCCAAGAACAGAGGAAUGCCUUAUUUUUAUUUUUCUAAGGAACUACAUAUUUGCCCCCCUCUUUUUUUCAGUUGAAACAGAAACAGGGUACAUGUACAACGUGUUAAAGUCAAGUCCAUAACCAGACCAAUUAAGAACAUUGACCUACAAGGAGUUCCACUGAAGUUCAGAUUAUAAGCAGGCAUGCUUCUAUCUCAAUUUACCACCCCGGGUCAAAUUUCACACUUAUCAGGACACUAUAACAACAGCAGAAACUUUACAAUUUCCCACCAAACAUAAAGAGAGCUUUGAAUCUACACACCCGCCUGCUACAAUCAUUCAUGACAGAUAUUUUAGCAAAAUUAAGGCCAGAGAAACACAAGCUAAAAAAAUGGAACUUCCUAAUUACUGAGAAGCAGGCAGAAACAAACCUGUAGACAACUCCAAUAUUGGGUGUCAGAUUCUGUAUUUUCUGAACCUGAAACAGGAAGCAAUUAAAUACCAUCAACAACCAACUCAAGUUACAUCCCAUCUUGCAAAUUAGAAUAAUAGACCAAUCAACUGGCUCCAAAAUCAAACCAUCUCCACCUCAUUCAACACGAUUUAAAAUAACCAACACUACCUUUUUAUACAAAGUGGGAUUGAUGAGGAUAUAAAUCUACACACUCCAACAUUCAAAGUCCCAAUCUUAGAGUCAUUGACUAGUAUAGUAACGCCUCAUUGGCAAGAACCCAAAUCACUAAGCUCAAAUUACUAAUAAAAAUUACAAAUUUACACCGAAUUUGAACAGAUUUCUACCAACCGAUGUCACUAAAGAAAACGCAAAAAAAAAAAACGCAAAAAAACAAAAGGGCUUCUUGAAUUUAAACCAAAGAAUAUAACAAAACCAAUAAAAAAAUAAUAAAUGUUUACUUACAGAAGAUUCAUCGACUAAAAUAGAUGGCAAUUUCUUCUCAGUUGCAACAACAACACCGCUUGCCGCUACAACACCAAAAAAAUAAUAAAAUCAAACAACAUGGUAUCUAAGCACCCAUCAACAACAGUAGUGCAUUCGAAAAUGACAAGAAAAUGAGAAAACAAGAGAGAGAGGAGCUUAAAUUGCAACAACCUUUGAUUCCGAGAGAAGUUUGGCCUGAUCCAACGGCAGUCAAUGCGUGCUCAAAUCUGUACUAGCUUUCCGGUAGGACUGAAAGUAGUGAGAGAAAAGGAGUACUGGCUAUCACCCAUGGUUUAUUGCUUAAGACGCAGAGAGGAAAAACUGAGAAUGCGAGUGUGUGGGAGAGAAAGACAGGGAUAUUUACUUGGGGUUUUAACUUUGCUUUUCUCGUUGGAGAAGAAGGUGUUUUCUUACGAGGGCUUUUACAAUGGAGUAUUAUGGGCUUUUAUGACGGCAGGUUGAUCCUCUGUACAUUGAGCUCAAUGAAGGCUCGGGACCAGUUUUGUUUUCAAGUAUUAUUAACAAAUAUUUAUUUAUUUAUUAAUAUACAUAAUUUUUAAUUUAUUUAAUAACAUUUAUAUAUAUAAUUUUUAAUUUAUUAUAUUUUUUGAACUAGAAAAAAUAAUUUUCCAGAUCGUGAUGUAUAUUUCUCACAUUGUUUAAAGAAGCUAAUUUAACAUUUUUGUUUAGUAAACUAAAUAUUCAACAACUUGGGCGACAAAUAUCUGGUUGCAGCGUGCAGAGAGUAAAAACAAAAUAACUCCCACAAAACCGUUGACCCAUUUUAGACAUGAAGCCAUAGUGUUGUUCGGGGCCCAGCACCGUAAGAGGAAGGCUCCCUCUAAAUUAUAAUUUGGCCCCCUUAAUUUUUUUUCCUUGCUCCGCCCCUGCAUGGAGGGUGGUGAGUUUUGGAUCUAUAAUUAUGCUCUCCAGCGUUUUAUUCAUUGGCUUGGACAGCCUGGCUAACAAUAAUAGCAUAACCACUGCAACAGUGGUUUACAAAUGAUACAUACCUCUUCAGCUUGCUUCCCUCAUUUAUUUGGAUUGAAUCCACUGAAACUGAGGUUUAAGAAUUUCUUGGAUUUAAUCCACUGAAACAGUUGCUUGAUCAAGAUCAUUGGCUUGUUUGAAGGCAGAUAAAGGCUUAAAAAAAAAAAAAAAGCGAAAGCAAGAAAAGGAGGAUGUGAGAAAUAAUUAUAGAUAUGAGUUCCAGUAGUUGAAACAUAUGAAUUACAUAUCAUUUUAUGUUGAGAGAGAAAGAGAGAGAGAGAGAGAGAGGAUGAGAGAGAGGUAUAUCACAGCUGCAUUUGAUAGACUAAAUGGUAAGUAGGAAAUAAAAUCGAAUUACAGUAAAAAGGUCACAUUGAAUGAAAUCCUCCAUGUAAGUAAAAAAGGUCCACAGAGUAAAUGGUAAGAAUUAACACCAAAGCAAAUAACUAACACUCAGAACCAAAUCUUUUACCGUUAAGAAUUAACACUGGUAGAAGAAUUUACCUCUUCCUGCUGGUUCUAAAGACUAAAGAAUUUACCUAUAUAGCAUCAAAAUUAAUCUUUGGGAUGUGAGAAAUCUUUUGCCAAUCUUCACCCAUCUCCUCUUUCCCGUAAUGUUUCCUUAGAUUGGGGCAUCUACAUAUAUUUAAUUCCUGUAGAGGCGCUGCCAAAACAUAGUCUGGUAGUGCUCUCAACAACGGGCACUGGUUAAUUCCCAAAUAUUGAAGUUGUGGCAUAAUGGAUAUUAUUGAAGUUGUGUUGGCAUCUUCUUCUCCCACUCUCCUUCCAAUUCCUUCCCACUCUUCUACUUCUUUGAGGAAAAAAAUGCCAAGUUUUUUUAAUUUGGGGAAAGCAGUGACCCUUGCAAUUUCUCCUUCAUUAAUACUGGCAUUCUCAUCUUUUUCUAUACCUAAAAAUCCAGCAUCCAACCUUCUCACCUUCAACGAGCUCAAUACCAGGAUUUCAAGGUUGGGCAAUCUCCCCAACGGAGGCAAGACCUCCGCGUUUUCGCCAAAAUCAAGUCUAAGCUCCUGUAAUCUGGUUAAUGUCAUCAUCCAAUUUGGCAAAUCCAACCCUCCGUACCUAGAUAUGGUUAGAUUUUCCAAGCCUGACGGAGGCCGUAAAGCUUCAAUUAAAGAGCCUUCAUUCAUUUGCAACUCUGUUUUCUCUCUGUCGAAAUCCAAUUCCAAACGAAGCAGGCUCUUCUUAUUCUUGAGUUGUGCUUCUGCAGCGUCACUCGCAUCUUCUUUACCUCCUCCUAGAUUCCGUAUACGAAGACUCCCUCCAAUGUGAUUCAAGUCUUUUAAUUCUCUUAGAUUAGCUGCUUUACUUUCAUUCUCACCACCACCACACACAGUAAACACAUCUAAUGUUCGAAGACAUGUUAUCCUCUCUAUUCCCUUUGGUAUGAAGGCCACACCUGAACGAUAAAUCCGGAGAUGCCUCAAUUUGAUAAGUUUUCCAAUCGCCUUGGGCAAUUCCUUGAGAGACCGACACCAAGUAACAUCUAGGGAUUGCAGAUUGCAUAAAUCACACGUGGUUUCUGGCAGGGACUCCAACUUUCCACACCAUGCCAAAUUGAGGUGUCUCAAAUGUAUCAAUUUCCCUACCUCGUUUGGUAUUUCUUUGAUAGAAGACUCUGACAAAUUCAAUGACCUGAUGCAUGUCAACUGCUUGAAUAAAUCAGGUAGUGCAGCUCCAAGCGAAGGGUCUCUAGUGUGGAUCAAGAGGCUGCGAAGACCUUUUGCUUUGUGAAUGGACACGGGAAAAGAGGUCUCGUUGGCCAACAUCAUGCUUAAAUGACGAACCCUUUCAAUUGAAGUCUCCACUGUUGCUUCUCCAAGGUAUUGACAUCCACUGUUAGACAUUCAUUUUUUGUCAUAUAUUGGGCAAAAUCAUGCACUAUAUCAUGCAUCUUGAAUCUGAUAAUUUCUAGACCAUACUUCUUACAAUCUUGGAAGAAAGAGCGUGCUACCAAGACUUGAAAGCACUCCUCUCCAACAAGCUCCAUAUCUCCACCUGAAGUCUCCUUGAGGUAACCUUGAGCCAUCCACAUCUUCACCAAUUCAUAUUUUCUCAUCUCGUAGUCUUUUGGAAACAUGGCACAAUACAAGAAACAUCGUCUUACCACAGAAGGUAAAUCGUAGUAACUCAAAAGCAAAGGUGGAAAUAGUCCUCUUUCAACAUGUUCUAGCUCCCACAGUUCGCUAGAUAAAACAUGUUCCCACUCUUCUCUUGUUCUUUUAGACUGCAUUAGACCUCCUAAUACCUUGGCAGCUAGAGGCAAGCCCUUGCAAUUGCUUGCAAUUUUGCCGCCUAUUUCUGUCAAUCUUUCGCGCUCAUCUUUGCUUCUUUUAUGGAAUGCCAACUGAUUGAAUAUUGACAUGCAUACCUCAUCAGACAAUUUCUCAAGGUUGAUCACGUGGUCGGUUCCCAUCAUGGUUGCCACGGAAUGUUUACGAGAGGUCACUAGAAUUCUGCUUCCUGGUGCACCGCCUUUGAGAGAGAGUUUCAGUGGUUCCCAUUGUCCAUGACUUUCUGUCCAGACAUCAUCAAGGACAAGAAGGAACCUCUUUCCCUUAAUGGAUUCAGAAACCCUUUGCAAAAGGGAUUGCAACUCAACCAAAUCCGGUGCACCCGCUUUAAGCUGCUCAAGGAUAGCUUUGGCUAUCCUAACCUCAUCAAAUGGAUCUGAAACACACACCCAUAUCUUUUUCUCAAAAUGAGCCGUAACCUCAGCAUCAUUAAAAGCUAGUUGGGCGAGAGUUGUCUUUCCAAUCCCACCCAACCCUACUAGAGAGAUGACAUCCACGUCCCCUGCUUCCUGACUACUUUCACCCACCAACUUGCUUACAACAGUUUUCUUUUCAAAAUCUCGACCAAUCACGCUUGAUUCAUCAACAAAGGAGGUACUUGUUAGUCGUUGUAGUUCAUCGGUGGCUCUAUACGGAUCAAAGCCAUACGUAGCUCUCUCUUUGGCAAUGUCAUCCACUUUUUCGCAUACUUCUUUGAUCUUAAGGGCAAUGGCGCGACGUCGAACCACUUGAUUGAGACAAGAGCAAGGAGAUUUCAGGAAGGAACAUCGCAUCUUCUGUCGGCUGCGAGUAUUUUCUUCAGCUUCCUCCAUUUUCCGUCUAAGAAUUGCAGUGCUCCAUUCAUCUAGCACGUCAUCCAUAUUAUAACAUACAUCUUUGAGCUUGUCUAGCCAACCCUUUACAGCCUUAUCCUUCACUUGUUUUCUAUCUGCAUCUUCAAGGACAGAUUGGAUAGCAACGAGAUUGCUUUUCAGCUUGUCAACUUGUUUCUUCACACCCACUACUAGGUUCACCUCUUC